AUUGAACGCUGGCGGCAGGCCUAACACAUGCAAGUCGAACGGUAACAGGAAGAAGCUUGCUUCUUUGCUGACGAGUGGCGGACGGGUGAGUAAUGUCGGGAAACUGCCCGAUGGAGGGGGAUAACUACUGGAAACGGUAGCUAAUACCGCAUAACGUCGCAAGACCAAAGAGGGGGACCUUCGGGCCUCUUGCCACCGGAUGUGCUCAGAUGGGAUUAGCUUGUUGGUGAGGUAACGGCUCACCAAGGCGACGAUCCCUAGCUGGUCUGAGAGGAUGACCAGCCACACUGGAACUGGGAGACGGUCCAGACUCCUACGGGAGGCAGCAGUGGGGAAUAUUGCACAAUGGGCGCAAGCCUGAUGCAGCCAUGCCGCGUGUAUGAAGAAGGCCUUCGGGUUGUAAAGUACUUUCAGCGGGGAGGAAGGGAGUAAAGUUAAUACCUUUGCUCAUUGACGUUACCCGCAUAAGAAGCACCGGCUAACUCCGUGCCAGCCGCCGCGGUAAAAC
rnacentral:rRNA from 1 species